rnacentral:rRNA from 1 species
AUACGUAGGGAGCGAGCGUUAUCCGGAUUUAUUGGGCGUAAAGGGUGCGUAGGCGGUUUGUUAAGUAUGUAAUUAAAGCCCGGGGCUUAACCUCGGUUCGUUACAUAAACUUGCAGACUAGAGUAUGGCAGAGGUAAACGGAAUUUCUAGUGUAGCGGUUAAAUGCGUAGAUAUUAGAAAGAACACCAGUGGCGAAGGCGGUUUACUGGGCCACAACUGACGCUGAGGCACGAAAGCGUGGGGAGCAAAUAGGAUUAGAUACCCUAGUAGUCCACGCAGUAAACGAUGAGUACUAAGUGUCGGGGCAACUCGGUGCUGAAGUUAACACAUUAAGUACUCCGCCUGAGUAGUACGGUCGCAAGGCUGAAACUCAAAUGAAUUGACGGGG